rnacentral:rRNA from 1 species
AAAACAUAGUCUUUACUAACACAUAAGAUAAAUCCUGCUCUCUGAUUUAUUUAACAGCCGCGGUAUCCUAACCGUGCUAAGGUAGCAUAAUCAUUUGCCUAUUAAUUGUAGGCUAGAAUGAACGGAACCACUUACUUAAUACUAUUAACAUUAUAAUUUAACUUAAACGUAAAGUUAAAAUGCUAAUUCGCAAAGAAAGACAAAAAGACCCUAGAAACUACACCUAAAGAGUGUUGGUUGGGGCAACCAUAGACCAAAAAAGCGUCUAAAACAUAAAAUUAACCUUACUAAUGAGUUACUCUAGGGAUAACAGACUAAUUUCAGUUUCUAGACCAUAUAUAAAAUGAAGAUUGGCACCUCGAUGUUGGCUUAUAUUUUCUAAUUGAAGCAACACUCAAUUAAGAUAGAUUGUUCAUCUAUUAAAUAUUUACAUGAGCUGAGUUC